rnacentral:rRNA from 1 species
UGGGGAAUCUUGCACAAUGGGCGAAAGCCUGAUGCAGCAAUGCCGCGUGAGUGAUGAAGGCUUUCGGGUUGUAAAUCUCUGUCGGCUGGGAAAAACGGGCUUAUAAUUAAUAAUUAUAGGCAGUGAUGGUACCAGCAAAGGAAGAGGCGGCUAACUCUGUGCCAGCAGCCGCGGUAAUACAGAGGCCUCAAGCGUUGUUCGGAAUUACUGGGCGUAAAGCGAAUGUAGGUGGUGAAGUAAGUCAGAUGUGAAAGCCCUGGGCUUAACCCGGGAACUGCAUUUGAUACUGCUUUGCUAGAGUGUGAGAGAGGAAAGGGGAAUUCCCGGUGUAGGAGUGAAAUCCGUAGAUAUCGGGAGGAAUACCGAUGGCGAAGGCACCUUUCUGGCUCAUUACUGACGCUGAGAUUCGAAAGCAUGGGUAGCAAACAGG